UCCCAGGUGGUUUUUGUUUUUUGGCUUUGG
rnacentral:piRNA from 1 species